rnacentral:misc_RNA from 1 species
UUUCCGUAGGUGAACCUGCGGAAGGAUCAUUAAUGAUUAGGGGGGAGUUGAGCUGGUUUUACAAGUGCUCGCUUUUUCCGUCUACCAAAUACACCUGUGAACUGUAGGGAAAAUGUAGCUCUCGUGUGCUCUUUUCCUUACUCUUAACAUACCCCAAUUCUUAACUAUGAACGUGAUAAAUAGUGGACCGCAAGGUCGAUAAUCGAAUAUACAACUUUUAACAACGGAUCUCUUGGCGCUCGCAUAGAUGAAGAACGCAGC